rnacentral:lncRNA from 1 species
GCUGAGUUUAGGAAACACUUCAAGGCUAUGGUAAAUAUUCAUUAGCCAUGUAUCCUUGCUUUGUUAGAAACUAAGAUGACUGAGCACCAAGACCUUUGUGAGGAGCUAGGAUACCAAAACCACAUUCAGACUGGGGCCAAUGGUAACUCAGGAGGGAUUUCCAUCAUAUGGAAGGAGGAUUCUAUCUCCAUUACUUCUGUCUCCAUCUCUCCCCAG